GUGAGAGUAGAUUUCAUUUUGUUGCCAAGCGGCUAUAGAAAGGGAAGCACUAGGGCUCAGCAGGGAGUAUCUCCUCUGUAAUUCCUGUGUGCAGGCAGAGCUGUUCCUCAGAACCCCUGGUGACAUUUGAGACUAUUGCUCAAGUGCUGGAGAGUGCUGGUAUAUCCCAGCAGGACAUCCAGAUUGCGGCCAUAAUUGGUGACAAAAGAUGUGUUAAUUUGCGGAUGAAUUCAUCAAACUCUGGAGAGCUAGGCGGGCUUAGGCCGAUUUGGUGCUUUCAAUGAAAAGGAAUUGUAGACAACAGUGUGAGCAACACCCAACCUAGCUCUCAGUGCUCAACAUUACAGUGUUCUUCAACAUUAGCUACGUAACAUUUGAAGUCUCUGCUGCCUUAAGCUUCCCUUGUUUAAAAUGUAAACCUGGACAUCCUCUUCAUCUAAGAUACCAUCUUCCUGGAACUUCUAUGUAUAGAUCAGAGCACUCUAGAAGUUUGUGGGUGUCAGGGUCAGGAUCCAA
rnacentral:lncRNA from 1 species